rnacentral:rRNA from 1 species
GGAAGAUGUAACGGGGCUAAACCAUGCACCGAAGCUGCGGCAGCGACGUUUAGGCGUUGUUGGGUAGGGGAGCGUUCUGUAAGCCGUUGAAGGUGACCUGUGAGGGUUGCUGGAGGUAUCAGAAGUGCGAAUGCUGACAUAAGUAACGAUAAUGCGGGUGAAAAACCCGCACGCCGGAAGACCAAGGGUUCCUGUCCAACGUUAAUCGGGGCAGGGUGAGUCGACCCCUAAGGCGAGGCUGAAAAGCGUAGUCGAUGGGAAACAGGUUAAUAUUCCUGUACUUGGUGUUACUGCGAAGGGGGGACGGAGAAGGCUAGGCUGGCCGGGCGACGGUUGUCCCGGUUUAAGCGUGUAGGGGGAGUGACCAGGUAAAUCCGGUUGCUUAUCAACCCUGAGGCGUGAUGACGAUGCACCACGGUGCAGAAGCAGUUGAUGCCAUGCUUCCAGGAAAAGCCUCUAAGCAUCAGGUAACAUUAAAUCGUACCCCAAACCGACACAGGUGGUCAGGUAGAGAAUACUCAGGCGCUUGAGAGAACUCGGGUGAAGGAACUAGGCAAAAUGGUGCCGUAACUUCGGGAGAAGGCACGCUGGCGUUAGGUGAAAGGACUAGCUCCUGGAGCUGAAGCCAGUCGCAGAUACCAGCUGGCUGCAACUGUUUAAUAAAAACACAGCACUGUGCAAACACGAAAGUGGACGUAUACGGUGUGACGCCUGCCCGGUGCUGGAAGGUUAAUUGAUGGGGUCAGCCGCAAGGCGAAGCUCUUGAUCGAAGCCCCAGUAAACGGCGGCCGUAACUAUAACGGUCCUAAGGUAGCGAAAUUCCUUGUCGGGUAAGUUCCGACCUGCACGAAUGGCGUAAUGAUGGCCAGGCUGUCUCCACCCGAGACUCAGUGAAAUUGAACUCGCUGUGAAGAUGCAGUGUACCCGCGGCAAGACGGAAAGACCCCGUGAACCUUUACUAUAGCUUGACACUGAACAUUGAGCCUUGAUGUGUAGGAUAGGUGGGAGGCCUUGAAGUGUGGACGCCAGUCUGCAUGGAGCCAACCUUGAAAUACCACCCUUUAAUGUUUGAUGUUCUAACUCGGCCCCAUGAUCUGGGGUGAGGACAGUGUCUGGUGGGUAGUUUGACUGGGGCGGUCUCCUCCCAAAGAGUAACGGAGGAGCACGAAGGUUAGCUAAUCACGGUCGGACAUCGUGAGGUUAGUGCAAAGGCAUAAGCUAGCUUGACUGCGAGAGUGACGGCUCGAGCAGGUACGAAAGUAGGUCUUAGUGAUCCGGUGGUUCUGAAUGGAAGGGCCAUCGCUCAACGGAUAAAAGGUACUCCGGGGAUAACAGGCUGAUACCGCCCAAGAGUUCAUAUCGACGGCGGUGUUUGGCACCUCGAUGUCGGCUCAUCACAUCCUGGGGCUGAAGUAGGUCCCAAGGGUAUGGCUGUUCGCCAUUUAAAGUGGUACGCGAGCUGGGUUUAGAACGUCGUGAGACAGUUCGGUCCCUAUCUGCCGUGGGCGUUGGAAGAUUGAGAGGGGCUGCUCCUAGUACGAGAGGACCGGAGUGGACGAAUCACUGGUGUUCGGGUUGUCAUGCCAAUGGCAUUGCCCGGUAGCUAAAUUCGGAAGAGAUAACCGCUGAAAGCAUCUAAGCGGGAAACUUGCCUCGAGAUGAGUCUUCCCUGGGACUUAAAGUCCCCUGAAGGAACGUUAAAGACUAUGACGUUGAUAGGCUGGGUGUGUAAGUGCAGCGAUGUAUUGAGCUAACCAGUACUAAUGAUCCGUGAGGCUUAACCUUACAACACCGAAGGUGUUU